rnacentral:tRNA from 1 species
UAGCUCAGUGGUUAAGAGCACUGGGUGCUCUUCCAGAGGACCUGGGUUCAAUUCCCAG